GACGAACGCUGGCGGCGUGCCUAAUACAUGCAAGUCGAGCGAAUGACGAGAAGCUUGCUUCUCUGAUUUAGCGGCGGACGGGUGAGUAACACGUGGGCAACCUGCCCUACAGAUCGGGAUAACUCAGGGAAACCUGGGCUAAUACCGGAUAAUCCUUCGAAUCAUAUGUUUUGAAGUUGAAAGGCGCUUCGGCGUCACUGUAGGAUGGGCCCGCGGUGCAUUAGCUAGUUGGUGGGGUAACGGCCUACCAAGGCAACGAUGCAUAGCCGACCUGAGAGGGUGAUCGGCCACAUUGGGACUGAGACACGGCCCAAACUCCUACGGGAGGCAGCAGUAGGGAAUCUUCCACAAUGGACGAAAGUCUGAUGGAGCAACGCCGCGUGAGUGAUGAAGGUUUUCGGAUCGUAAAACUCUAUUGUAAGGGAAGAACAAGUACGUUAGGAAAUGAACGUACCUUGACGGUACCUUAUUAGAAAGCCACGGCUAACUACGUGCCAGCAGCCGCGGUAA
rnacentral:rRNA from 1 species